UGUGUAGGCGGUUGUUUAAGUUUGGUGUGAAAUCUCCCGGCUCAACUGGGAGGGUGCGCCGAAUACUGAAUGACUAGAGUGCGGGAGAGGAGAGUGGAAUUCCUGGUGUAGCGGUGAAAUGCGUAGAUAUCAGGAGGAACACCGGUGGUGUAGACGGCUCUCUGGACCGUAACUGACGCUGAGACACGAAAGCGUGGGUAGCAAACA
rnacentral:rRNA from 1 species